GUCAGUCUGAAACCCCAAACAGACAGCACCUGUAUGAGGUUAAAGAAGGAGCAGGAGCUGCUGAAAGAAGGGGACUUGGAGCUUGUGCGCAAGGCCCUCAGUUUAGAGAUACGCUUUCUACAAUCUAAAUUAGACACCAGAAUGCAAAGCCAGCCACAUUAAGGGGAGCCACACAUACAGGAACUCUUUGUGUUUUAUAGAUUCUUGGACAGUUUGUUUUUAUGUUCCAUUUUAAUUCAAACUUUAUUGAAACUAUGCUUUAAAAAUUACUGCACUGAGUUAAAGAAAAGGUCCCGCCUUCUCAUAUUCAAAGUAAACAUUGAAUAUGAAAUAGUUAUACUGAUACUCCUAAUAGAAUAAUAACUCGCCAAGAAUAUUCAAUUGUUUAAUAAUCUCAUCUAGCUCUGGCAAAUACUUUGUUACUGUUCACGGCUGGUUACAGGUCAUUGACAGUGUUCUAACGCCACCUCCUGGUAUCUCUCUGAUGUUGCAAUCCACCUUUUUUACCUUUAACACUAAGCAGCAUAAGUGAUCACUGGGAGAAGUAAUUUACAUAAUUGAUUAUUAGAGUGCCUUCAGUUCCAAAGGGCAAUUCUUUGGUAGGCCUACUUCUGGUAAAAAUGACUGAAUGUUAAUAAAUGGAUCGAGAAGUCGAUAGCUAUUGAGGUUCUGCAAUCCCAUUUGAUGUGGCCGCGACCCAACUAUGGGAUUGGUUGUAAUAAACAACUAGCAUUAAGCUAAGUCACCCAUAUGCAAUCACAACAUAAUGCAAAUACUGUACAACCCCUUGGCCUUUUGCAUUAUUACAGAGGCAUCCAUUAAAUCUUCGAUUAUAUAUCUCAUACACACACAUGCACAAACUUAGUCUUUAGAACUUGUAGCCCGACUUUAGACAUGUUGACACAAACAUAUACAUCCAUCUUAAUGAAUGUUUUUUUUAUUAAAGAUUCAUUUUUGCAUUUAUACUUUAUUAUAGAGUGAGAUAGACCGGAAGGUAUGGGAGAGAGAGGGGAGGACAUGGAGCAAAGGACCACGGUCAGGAAUCAAACACAGGUCGCUGCGAUCACGACUAGGCCUUAAUUUUACUCGCUCAGAGUAAUGGUGAGCCACCCAUUCCAUCUUAAUUAUUAACUGAAAUCUUUCCGCAACAUCUAAAUCAGUCCCUGAUUUAUGUUAGUUACACUUGAGGGUACUAUUCGUGACAGCUCCAGUUAUCUGUUGUGCUCUCAGCUCGGUGAUAAACUCCUGGAUGACUUCUUCCGGACCCAAGUCUUUUGUUUUCAGGCAAUUUUUCUGGCCCUUAAAAUAUGAUGACGGUUUGGCAGAAAUCUGAGAAGUUGACACUGGAGACCAACAGGCAAAGAGAAGGGAGUGUUACAAGGGACAUGGGGGCAGUUGAAGUCCGGUCAGAAGGGUACAUUUUUUCACUUUUUACACUGUGCAAUAAGUAACCAAACAAUGGUUUUGGUUGGUGUCUGGAUCAAUGCAAUAACAAGUAAUGCAAGAUCGCAAA